CAGAUUCCAUAGGAUUUCUCUCUCUCUCUCGCUCUUCUCUAUUCUCUGAAGUCAGAAAGCUCAGGCAUUACAAGCUUUCAAUCCAAGACUCUAACUUCCCCAAUAAAGCUACUCCUUAAUGAACUCAACUUUUACUGCUCACACUGGCUCUGUUAUAAUUGAGACUGUUAUUCAUUCUGUUAAUGAAUAACAGAAAAAGGUUUACAAGGCAUCAAGCCCAUUUCUAACAAAGUACUCCAUGUUAGCAUGGCAAUGGACCAUAUCACUUUUAAUGGACUGGGCACUUUUUCUUCUAUUCACAUGAGGCACUGUGGAUGUCCUACGUUGCUCAUCCAACCAACAUUGUAUUCACUUGGUUUGUUAUUGGACCUGAAGGUGAUAUUUAGGAAGUCUAUUGUCAGGCAUGCAAAUUGUGUGGAAAAAAUGUGUCACAUUAAAUCAUGACAGAUUAAUAAGAUAUUACUCAUGGGUAUAUGCUUUCAUACAAUCCUUUUGAGAAAAGAGAAGUUUAUUUUCACUUUAACAACAUACUUGGCAAUUCAAGACAGAUUCUUGAAUUCUUCAGAAUGAUAGGUUCCCAGACAAAGUCAUGUGCUUUUAAAUCCUGUUGUUUUUAAAUGGGAGAGCAAAUUAAGCAUGUGCUUCAUUUUCUCCACUAAAACAAAUGAUGUUUAAACAUGCUUAUAGCUGAUAGCAGAUUACAUUAUUAAAAUUAUGUUUAAAAUGUGUAUUCUAUGCUUUUUUAUUAGACUCAUUAAAAUAUGAAACAUG